rnacentral:lncRNA from 1 species
UGGGAACCACUUAAAUGGAGAUGCUAAUGGGGUGGAUGAACUAAUUACAAUGGUGCCAGAGGUAGUUUACAAGGGAGCUGGCAAUACAGUCAGGUGUGGGUUCCCUUUUUUAUAAUUACAAAGCCUUGUCACAAAUAAAUACACCUGAAUCACACAGAGAAUUAAUGAUACAAUAGCCUUAUAAAGGAGAAAGAAAUCAAUACACCUCCCCUAACAGCAGGUUUAGAAUGGUCUUUGUGUAACCAAAAUGCUUCAGGGUGCUGUUCCCAUCUUGAGUGGUAACCAAAGGAACAACCAGUACAUGUUUUUCCUCCCUUCCCUUAAAGUUUUGUUAUAGCCAGUCACUUCCCUAGGAAAAUUCAAUAUGUUGACGUAUUAAAGAGGCAGAUCCAAUUUUAAUCCUAAGUUUAAACAUGAAAAGCAUCUGCCAUCACUAACAAAAUAUCCCGCAUCACCUUUCUAAAGUGAACUUUAAGCUAAACAGCACAGAUACUAAGUUGCUCUUUCCCCAC